rnacentral:lncRNA from 1 species
AAAUAUUUAAGAAUAAAUUUAACUAAAAAGGUGAAAGACAUACAUUGAAAACUAUGAUACAUUGAUACAUGAAAUUAAAGCAUGUAAAAUAAAUAAAUAAAUGAAAAAACACCUCAGGUUUAUAGAUUGGAAGAAUUAGUGUUGUUAAAAUGUUCAAACUACCCAGUGAUCUAUGGAUUCAAGACUAUCCCCAUCAAAAUUCCAAUGGUGCUUUUUACAGAAAUAGAAAAAACAAUUUUAAACUUCAUAUUCAAAGUCAUGAAAAACCCAGAAUAGCCACAGCAAUCUUGAGAAAGAACAAGGCUAGAGGCAUCACACUUCCAGAUUUCAAAAUAUAUUACAAAGCUAAGUAAUUAGAGCAGUAUGGCACUGGCAUAAAGACAGACAUGCAGUUCAAGGGAACAGAACAGAGAACCCAGAACUAAAUCCAAGAAUAUUCUGAUCUUUUAGAAGUGUGCCAAGAAUAUAUAGUGGGGAAAAGAUAGUCUCUUUAAUAAAUAGUGCUGGGAAAACUGGGUAUCCAUAUGCAAAAAAACCAAAAUUGGAUUCCUGCCUUACACCAUACACAAAAAUUAACUCAAAGUCUAUUAAAAACUUCAAUGUAAGAAAAAACUGUAAAACUCCUAGAAGAAAACAUGGGGUAAAAGUUCAUUGAUAUUGGUCAUGGCAAUAAUUUCUUGGAUAUGACACUGAAAACACAGGCAAUAAAGUAAAAAUGGACGAGAGACUACAUCAAACUAAAGAGCUUCUGCACAGCAAAGAAAACAGUCAACAAAAAUGGAAGAGGAGAAGAUAUCUGCAAACCACAAGUCUCAUAAAGGAUAAAAUUUCAAAAUGUAUAUGGAGCUCCUACAACUUAUAGCAACUUCUCCCCAAACAAACCAAAAUAAAAGAUCCAAUUACAAAAAUGAGCAAAGGACCUGAAUGGACAUUCCUCCAAAGAAGACAUACAAAUGGCCGACACGUAUAUGAAAAGAUGCUUAACACCAUUAAUUAUCAGGUAAAUGCAAAUAAAAACUAAAAUGAGAUAUCAUCUCUCGCCUGUUAGGAUGGUGAUUAUCAAAAAGACAAAAGAUAGAAAGUUGACAAGGAUGUGGAGGAAAAGGAACCCUGAUACGCUGUUGAUGGGAAUGUAAAUUAGUAGAGUUAUAAUGGAAAACUGUAUGGAGGGCUCUCAAAAAAUUAAAAAUAGAGCUACCAUAUGACCCAACAAUCCCACUAUUGGUUAUGUAUCCAGAAGAAUUGAAGACAGGACCUUGAAGAGAUAUUUGCACACUCAUGUCCGUUG